GCCUGGGUGGCUCAGUCGGUUAAGCGUCUGACUUUAGCUCAGGUCAUGAUCUCACUGUUCUUGGGUUCAAGCCCCGCAUUGGGCU
rnacentral:tRNA from 1 species